CUACAUGUACAUUCCCUGUGUGCUUGUGGGGAUAUAAAUAUGAGUGAGUGCAGGCAGGGGCUCAGUGAUCUGUAUCAGGCCUGUGUGCAGUGAUCAGUAUGGUGUCCCACAGCUGCUUGCUGCCUAUACUCAUGCUCUGGCUUCAGGGUUCCUAUGGGCAGAUUGUACUGACUCAGUCUCCAGAUUAUGUCUCUGUGUCACCAGGAGAAACUGUCACCCUCACAUGUAAAGUCAGUAGCAGUGUUGGCAAUGCCAUAGCCUGGUACCAACAGAAAUCAGGGCAGGCACCAAAGCUGCUGAUCUAUGACGCAAGCACCCGACACACAGGGACCCCAGAGCGGAUCAGUGGCAGUGGGUCUGGAACUGAUUUCACUCUUACAAUCAGCAGAAUGGAAGCAGAAGAUGCAGCAGAUUAUUACUGUCAGCAGUAUAAUCAGCUCCCUCUCACACAGUGAUACAGAGCUGAACAA